rnacentral:tRNA from 1 species
GGAUUGUAGCUCAGUGGUAGAGCACUUGCCUUGUAUGUGUGAGGCCCUGGGUUCGAUCCUCAGCACCA